GAUGAACGCUGGCGGCGUGCCUAAUACAUGCAAGUCGAGCGAACAGACGAGGAGCUUGCUCCUCUGACGUUAGCGGCGGACGGGUGAGUAACACGUGGAUAACCUACCUAUAAGACUGGGAUAACUUCGGGAAACCGGAGCUAAUACCGGAUAAUAUAUUGAACCGCAUGGUUCAAUAGUGAAAGACGGUUUUGCUGUCACUUAUAGCUGGAUCCGCGCCGCAUUAGCUAGUUGGUAAGGUAACGGCUUACCAAGGCAACGAUGCGUAGCCGACCUGAGAGGGUGAUCGGCCACACUGGAACUGAGACACGGUCCAGACUCCUACGGGAGGCAGCAGUAGGGAAUCUUCCGCGAUGGGCGAAAGCCUGACGGAGCAACGCCGCGUGAGUGAUGAAGGUCUUCGGAUCGUAAAACUCUGUUAUUAGGGAAGAACAAAUGUGUAAGUAACUAUGCACGUCUUGACGGUACCUAAUCAGAAAGCCACGGCUAACUACGUG
rnacentral:rRNA from 1 species